rnacentral:rRNA from 1 species
UACAGAGGGUGCAAACGUUGCUCGGAAUCAUUGGGCGUAAAGCGCACGUAGGCGGCUUAGCAAGUCGGAAGUGAAAUCCCUCGGCUCAACCAAGGAAGUGCUUUCGAAACUGCUGAGCUUGAGUACUUAAGAGGAUCGCGGAAUUCCCGGUGUAGAGGUGAAAUUCGUAGAUAUCAGGAGGAACACCGGUGGCGAAGGCGGAUCUCUGGGCCGAUACUGACGCUGAGGAGCGAAAGCGUGGGGAGCGAACAGG